UUAAAUUGAAGAGUUUGAUCAUGGCUCAGAUUGAACGCUGGCGGCAGGCCUAACACAUGCAAGUCGAACGGUAACAGGAAGCAGCUUGCUGUUUCGCUGACGAGUGGCGGACGGGUGAGUAAUGUCUGGGAAACUGCCUGAUGGAGGGGGAUAACUACUGGA
rnacentral:rRNA from 3 species